rnacentral:rRNA from 1 species
AUGCAUAGGAAUCUGCCCGGUAGUGGGGGAUAACCUGGGGAAACCCAGGCUAAUACCGCAUACGCCCUACGGGGGAAAGCAGGGGAUCUUCGGACCUUGCGCUAUCGGAUGAGCCUAUGUCGGAUUAGCUAGUUGGUGAGGUAACGGCUCACCAAGGCUGCGAUCCGUAGCUGGUCUGAGAGGAUGAUCAGCCACAUCGGGACUGAGACACGGCCCGAACUCCUACGGGAGGCAGCAGUGGGGAAUAUUGGACAAUGGGCGAAAGCCUGAUCCAGCCAUGCCGCGUGUGUGAAGAAGGCCUUCGGGUUGUAAAGCACUUUCAGUGAGGAAGAAAGCCUUGAGGUUAAUACCCUCGAGGGAGGACAUCACUCACAGAAGAAGCACCGGCUAACUCCGUGCCAGCAGCCGCGGUAAUACGGAGGGUGCGAGCGUUAAUCGGAAUUACUGGGCGUAAAGCGCGCGUAGGCGGCUUGAUAAGCCGGUUGUGAAAGCCCCGGGCUCAACCUGGGAACGGCAUCCGGAACUGUCAGGCUAGAGUGCAGGAGAGGAAGGUAGAAUUCCCGGUGUAGCGGUGAAAUGCGUAGAGAUCGGGAGGAAUACCAGUGGCGAAGGCGGCCUUCUGGACUGACACUGACGCUGAGGUGCGAAAGCGUGGGUAGCAAACAGGAUUAGAUACCCUGGUAGUCCACGCCGUAAACGAUGUCGACUAGCCGUUGGGCUCCUUGAGAGCUUUGUGGCGCAGUUAACGCGAUAAGUCGACCGCCUGGGGAGUACGGCCGCAAGGUUAAAACUCAAAUGAAUUGACGGGGGCCCGCACAAGCGGUGGAGCAUGUGGUUUAAUUCGAUGCAACGCGAAGAACCUUACCUACCCUUGACAUCGAGAGAACUUU